rnacentral:rRNA from 1 species
GAUGAACGCUGGCGGCGUGCCUAAUACAUGCAAGUCGAGCGAACGGACGAGAAGCUUGCUUCUCUGAUGUUAGCGGCGGACGGGUGAGUAACACGUGGAUAACCUACCUAUAAGACUGGGAUAACUUCGGGAAACCGUAGCUAAUACCGGAUAAUGUUUUGAACCGCAUGGUUCAAAAGUGAAAGACGGUCUUGCUGUCACUUAUAGAUGGAUCCGCGCUGCAUUAGCUAGUUGGUAAGGUAACGGCUUACCAAGGCAACGAUGCAUAGCCGACCUGAGAGGGUGAUCGGCCACACUGGAACUGAGACACGGUCCAGACUCCUACGGGAGGCAGCAGAAGGGAAUCUUCCGCAAUGGGCGAAAGCCUGACGGAGCAACGCCGCGUGAGUGAUGAAGGUCUUCGGAUCGUAAAACUCUGUUAUUAGGGAAGAACAUAUGUGUAAGUAACUGUGCACAUCUUGACGGUACCUAAUCAGAAAGCCACGGCUAACUACGUG